UAGAUUCGAUCCAUACUCAUAAUUUCGAAUUUUUUUUUUCUGGUUUUGCAAGUUAGGGCGAUAAAAUUCCCGAUGAUCGAAUAACCUUUAUACAUAGUUUCAGCCUUAUCUGAAUAGAAUACAUCAAUGUAGAAGAACAAUCAUUUUUCUGAGGGAACCAGAUUCGUCCUUUUUUGUUUUGCUUUUCGUUGGUUUUGAUCUUUCCAGGUUUGUUUUUGUUUUGAGGGUACCCAAUGAUGAUUCGAGAAAAUCUCUAUAUCAAGUUUCAGCCUUGUCUGAAGUAAUCAAUGUUGAUAAGUUCUUCGAUUCUGAGGGAAUACUCAUUUGGUUAAUAUGGUCUGUCUUCUGGCACAAACAAGUGUUUUAGUUGUUUAAUUGUUUUCUUCUUGCGAUGGCAUUUUAUCUCUCUCGAGAUAUAGAAUGUGAGCUCAUUAAAGUCAUGAUAAAAAUUGUUUAAUGCGAUAGAUCGAUCAUAGACCGCUAAUCUUUUGUAAAACGUAUAUCAUUGUAGUGAUUGCUUAAACAUUGACGUUGUAUUGCGAUGCUAUUGUGUGAAUUAUGUAUUCCUAUGUGGUGUAUUGUAUAUAAAUGCAAAUAUGAUUCAUAUAACAUAUAACAAAAUACAGCUACUACAACAAUAUGAUUCACGAGUAUGUUGCACACCAACUUUUUAGUAUAUACAAGAUGUUAAGCAUACAAUGUUGCAACACAAUAUAUUUACACAAGUUUACAAUUGAACCAAGGAAGAUCAUACGGUUAUGUCACCGUUCACUAAUAUGCCAAAUAGCAUCAAGAUAACCUCACGUUGAUGAGCAAAACAGAUGGACAUUGUUUUUAGCUGGGUCUGGUCGAUCUUUGUUAUUGGGCCAAACUUUGGGCUUCGUCUUGUUAUGACAAUCGUCGCCAGUUUGUUGUUCGCUUGAAAAUUUCUGUUGUUUUGGAGGACGGUGAAGAAUUUUCGCUCAAGUCAAGACUCAAG
rnacentral:lncRNA from 1 species